ACUUAAAUUGAAGAGUUUGAUCAUGGCUCAGAUUGAACGCUGGCGGCAGGCCUAACACAUGCAAGUCGAGCGGUAGCACAGAGAGCUUGCUCUCGGGU
rnacentral:rRNA from 1 species